rnacentral:rRNA from 1 species
AGAGUUUGAUCAUGGCUCAGGAUGAACGCUAGCGGCAGGCCUAAUACAUGCAAGUCGAGGGGUAACAGGAAGUGCUUGCACUUCGCUGACGACCGGCGCACGGGUGAGUAUCGCGUAUACAAUCUGCCUCAUACUAGGGAAUAGCCCGAAGAAAUUUGGAUUAAUGCUCUAUAGUAUCUUUUUAAGGCAUCUUAUUAAGAUUAAAGGUUACGGUAUGAGAUGAGUAUGCGUUCUAUUAGCUAGUAGGUGUGGUAACGGCACACCUAGGCUACGAUAGAUAGGGGCCCUGAGAGGGGGAUCCCCCACACUGGUACUGAGACACGGACCAGACUCCUACGGGAGGCAGCAGUAAGGAAUAUUGGUCAAUGGACGAAAGUCUGAACCAGCCAUGCCGCGUGCAGGAUGACUGCCCUAUGGGUUGUAAACUGCUUUUAUAUAGGAAGAAAAACUUUCUCGUGAGAAAGCUUGACGGUACUAUAAGAAUAAGGAUCGGCUAACUCCGUGCCAGCAGCCGCGGUAAUACGGAGGAUCCAAGCGUUAUCCGGAAUCAUUGGGUUUAAAGGGUCCGUAGGUGGACAAAUAAGUCAGAGGUGAAAUCCUGCAGCUCAACUGUAGAACUGCCUUUGAUACUGUUUGUCUUGAGUUAUUAUGAAGUGGUUAGAAUGUGUAGUGUAGCGGUGAAAUGCAUAGAUAUUACACAGAAUACCGAUUGCGAAGGCAGAUCACUAAUAAUCAACUGACACUGAUGGACGAAAGCGUGGGUAGCGAACAGGAUUAGAUACCCUGGUAGUCCACGCCGUAAACGAUGGUCACUAGCUGUUUGGACUUCGGUCUGAGUGGCUAAGCGAAAGUGAUAAGUGACCCACCUGGGGAGUACGUUCGCAAGAA